GAUUAGUGGCGAACGGGUGAGUAACACGUGGGCAAUCUGCCCUGCACUCUGGGACAAGCCCUGGAAACGGGGUCUAAUACCGGAUACUGAUCCUCGCAGGCAUCUGCGAGGUUCGAAAGCUCCGGCGGUGCAGGAUGAGCCCGCGGCCUAUCAGCUAGUUGGUGAGGUAACGGCUCACCAAGGCGACGACGGGUAGCCGGCCUGAGAGGGCGACCGGCCACACUGGGACUGAGACACGGCCCAGACUCCUACGGGAGGCAGCAGUGGGGAAUAUUGCACAAUGGGCGAAAGCCUGAUGCAGCGACGCCGCGUGAGGGAUGACGGCCUUCGGGUUGUAAACCUCUUUCAGCAGGGAAGAAGCGAAAGUGACGGUACCUGCAGAAGAAGCGCCGGCUAACUACGUGCCAGCAGCCGCGGUAAUACGUAGGGCGCAAGCGUUGUCCGGAAUUAUUGGGCGUAAAGAGCUCGUAGGCGGCUUGUCACGUCGGUUGUGAAAGCCCGGGGCUUAACCCCGGGUCUGCAGUCGAUACGGGCAGGCUAGAGUUCGGUAGGGGAGAUCGGAAUUCCUGGUGUAGCGGUGAAAUGCGCAGAUAUCAGGAGGAACACCGGUGGCGAAGGCGGAUCUCUGGGCCGAUACUGACGCUGAGGAGCGAAAGCGUGGGGAGCGAACAGGAUUAGAUACCCUGGUAGUCCACGCCGUAAACGGUGGGCACUAGGUGUGGGCAACAUUCCACGUUGUCCGUGCCGCAG
rnacentral:rRNA from 1 species